rnacentral:rRNA from 1 species
GACAGAGGGUGCAAACGUUGUUCGGAAUUACUGGGCGUAAAGCGUGUGUAGGCGGUUUGGCAAGUCGGAUGUGAAAGCCCCGGGCUCAACUCGGGAAGUGCACUCGAUACUGCUAAACUUGAGUGUCGGAGAGGUUGGUGGAAUUCUCGGUGUAGAGGUGAAAUUCGUAGAUAUCGAGAGGAACACCGGUGGCGAAGGCGGCCAACUGGACGAACACUGACGCUGAGGCACGAAAGCGUGGGGAGCAAACAGG